rnacentral:rRNA from 1 species
UACGUAGGGUGCAAGCGUUGUUCGGAAUCACUGGGCGUAAAGGGCGCGUAGGCUGCUCGGCAAGUCAGGUGUGAAAUCCCGCAGCUCAACUGCGGAACUGCGCCUGAAACUGCCAAGCUCGAGUACGGGAGAGGGUAGCGGAAUUCCGAGUGUAGAGGUGAAAUUCGUAGAUAUUCGGAGGAACACCGGUGGCGAAGGCGGCUACCUGGACCGAUACUGACGCUGAGGCGCGAAAGCGUGGGGAG